rnacentral:tRNA from 1 species
GUCCUCGUGGCCUAGAGGAUGGGCACCAGCUUCCGAAGCUGGCCUGACGGGGGUUCGAAUCCCUCCGAGGACG